CCUGAGAAUGAGGCCUGGGGGCGGGUUCAGAAAGAGGCGAGUCCUCUGGCUGUGCUGAAGGUGGGGAAGGGGGUUGAGGUCAGCAGGGAGCUGAGCUAUGGUGAGGUUUCCAACUUAGGGGAAGUUGGGAUUGCAGUUGAUGAGCACAUAACUGAGCGGGUCUGAGGGUGGGGCCUGACUUUGAAGCAAUUUACAGACGACUCUUGGAAGAAGGGCAGGGUCCUUAGCGUUUGGGAAUGUGGUGGGGUCAGAGAUACAAGAUACACACACACAUCGGGAUCAGAAGCUUGGAGUAGGCUUGGUACUGAAGGGUUGGUACUUCCUGGGCCAAGGUCCAAGCUGCAGGUGGAACCUGAUAUCUGAGGAUCUGGGUUGUGGGGGCUUCCUGGCAUACUUCUCACUGAUCCAAUCUUCCCACCCACCUUUCUUCAGCUGAAGUGGUGUGCUUGGGUUGCCGUCUACUGUUCCUUUAUCAGCUUUGCCAAUUCCCGGAGCUCGGAGGACACUAAGCAGAUGAUGAGUAGCUUCAUGCUCUCAAUCUCUGCCGUGGUGAUGUCCUAUCUGCAGAAUCCUCAGCCCAUGACGCCCCCGUGGUGAUGUCUACUAGAAGGCUUGGAUCCUGGACUCCUGUCCACCUUCUCUCUGGCCUAGCCUUUGACUGCCUCCAACCUGCCCUUGGCUGCUGUCUGUAAACUCGCCUGAGUGUCGUCUCUGGUCUCCCAGCUGAAUAGAGGGAGGAUGGCCCUUUCUUUGGGGUCCUGCUUCUGCUUUGACAAAGGGGUAAACCCGCAGACUUCCCUUUUAUCUCCCUCCCCUGGCUACUGUUAUGAGAAACACUGUUCAUGUUUCUAAGUAUUCGCUUGUUUUCUUGUUGAAACCAGUUGAUAAAAAAUUUUCCACUCUG